rnacentral:rRNA from 1 species
AUUGAACGCUGGCGGUAUGCUUAACACAUGCAAGUCGAACGGUAACAGGCCUUCGGGCGCUGACGAGUGGCGGACGGGUGAGUAACGCGUAGGAAUCUGCCUCAUAGUGGGGGACAACGUGUGGAAACGCACGCUAAUACCGCAUACGCCCUACGGGGGAAAGCGGGGGACCUUCGGGCCUCGCGCUAUGAGAUGAGCCUGCGUUAGAUUAGCUAGUUGGUAGGGUAAAGGCCUACCAAGGCGACGAUCUAUAGCUGGUCUGAGAGGACGAUCAGCCACACUGGGACCGGGACACGGCCCAGACUCCUACGGGAGGCAGCAGUGGGGAAUAUUGGACAAUGGGCGCAAGCCUGAUCCAGCAAUACCGCGUGUGGGAAGAAGGCCCUAGGGUUGUAAAGCACUUUCAAUAGGGAGGAAAACCUGUCGGUCAAUACCCGGCAGCUUGACAUUACCUAUACAAGAAGCACCGGCUAACUCCGUGCCAGCCGCCGCCGUAAUAC